ensembl:lncRNA
AUUAUACCUGUAAAUACUGCAGUUAUUUCAUCCAGAGCUGAACUGACUCAGCCAUGAUUUAGGAUGAUUUAAGACAAACAACAUUAAGAACUGACCGCUUCAAGGAGGCCUGGAGCAAAUUGAACCGCUGAUUGAAUCCAAAGCCAAAGGACAUUAAAAGAAUCAAGACCCACUUGAGUUUGAUGGAGGGCAAAAGAGACAGAUGCAGCUGUACGUCCACGAGCUAAAGCACAUCAUCCUCAACAACAGGCAUCAGACUCUUCAGGCUAUGAGAGCGAGCUGUUGCUGGAAUUGCAUCAGCCAAUCGCAGAUGCUACAUCACUUCCAGGUGUUUUUACCUCUUAUUGACCACGGUCUGCUGGGAUGUCCUCUCUGUGUGGGCCUGCUUUCAUAAACACCAUUACACAUAACUUCUUUAUGCGUUUCCCUCGGCCUACCUUCAAUUACGGUUGCAGCCACUCUCGCCUUCAUGUUAAUUUGUGCGUUGAGACCUUUGAGCUUUGUGAUGAGCUGGUGUUAAUCACACAGCUCACACCACAACUGUGUCCACAGCCCCUCGGAGAUUGCCUCUGAUCAGAGCAAAAUGACUUGACAAGUCUGUGAUUCCAACAAUUCAAGACACCAGUUUGCCCGAGGACAAGGGCGCAGCCCCAAACAUCCCAUAAUUACCUUGGGGGAGAUGAAAAUGCAGAGAGAACAGGAAAUCUUGAGGCAGAAAUACACAGAACACUCAAUCCUACAUCUUACCGGUUGCUGCUGGGGCAUUACGGCAGGAGUGUAAUGGAGGACUUGUUUGCAAAUGCAAAUUAAAAUUAAAUAGAAGGGAAAGGAAAGGAGGCCAACUUUGAUUUGGUGUUUGUUUUCCCACUCAACUGACCCAAACCUCUUCCUCCCAGGGCCAUGAUUAAUUUGUGGCUGGCCCUGCUGUACAUGGGGGCCCAAUCAGUGGAUGAUAGGCCUUUGAUUGGAUGCAGGUUCUCAGCUCUCACAUGCUAUUAGGAAUCACAGCUGUUUUUACUCUGAUGGCACCCAUUCGCUGCGGAGGAUCCAUUGCUGAGCAACUUCAGAAACCAUGCAAACAUUUGGAAAAUUGAGCAGCCAAGCCUCAGAGAUGCCAGAAUAUCAAGAUAUGUUUGAUGUGACAGAUGUGUUAGCCCGAACUGACACAGCAUUCAGACGGGGUACUUACUGUUGACAUAUUGGGGGCAGAAGAGGAUACGUCUGCUGUCUACACUGACUGACUGUACCUAGACAGGCCUUGUGAAACUCUUGCAUAAGAUGACGCUUUGCCUCAGAAGUGCAAGAAUGCAAAGUUUGCCCUUGAAAUGAAAGUCAAACCAUGAACAGUCAGCCUUGUUGUCCUAGACAAAGCGCUCAGCUUUAUGCCUUGAUUGCAUUAUCAGAAAUAAUCAAAGCAGUUUGCAUCUAUUAAGAUGGCGCUGGGAAAAAA